GACGAACGUUUGACGGCGUGCUUAACACAUGCAAGUCAACCGGAAGUUAGAGCUUGCUCUAAUGGAAAGUGGCGAACGGGUGAGUAACGCGUAGAUAAUCUGCCCCUUAAUUUGGAAUAGCUUUGGGAAACCGAAAGUAAUACCGAAUACAGUCUUUAAUAUGCAUGUAUUAGAGAUGAAAGACUAUAAGUCGUUGAGGGAUGAGUCUGCGUACCAUUAGCUAGUUGGCAAGGUAAAAGCUUACCAAGGCAAUGAUGGUUAGCUGGUCUGAGAGGAUGAUCAGCCACACUGGGACUGAGAUACGGCCCAGACUCCUACGGGAGGCAGCAGUGAGGAAUAUUGCACAAUGGGGGAAACCCUGAUGCAGCAACGCCGUGUGAGUGAUGAAUCAGUUUAUCUGUGUAAAGCUCUGUUGAGAGGGACGAAAUGAAAGCUUAGAAGGCUUUUUUGACGGUACCUUUUAAGAAAGCUCCGGCUAACUCCGUGCCAGCAGCCGCGGUAAUACGGAGGGGGCAAGCGUUGUCCGGAAUCAUUGGGCGUAAAGGGCAUGUAGGUGGGUUUUUAAGUCAGUUGUAAAAUAUUAAGGCUUAACCUUAUUUAGCAAUUGAAACUGGAAAUCUUGAGUUCGAGAAGGGAUGGUAGAAUAUCUAGUGUAGCGGUGGAAUGCGUAGAUAUUAGAUAGAAUACCCGAGGCGAAGGCGACUGUCUGGCUCGAGACUGACACUGAAAUGCGAAAGCAUGGGUAGCAAACAGGAUUAGAUACCCUGGUAGUCCAUGCCGUAAACGAUGGAUACUAGGUGUCCGGGGACUAGUCCCCUGGGUGCCGACGCAAACGCAUUAAGUAUCCCGCCUGGGGAGUACGAUCGCAAGGUUGAAACUCAAAGGAAUUGACGGGGGCCCGCACAAGCGGUGGAGCAUGUGGUUUAAUUCGAUGCAACGCGAAGAACCUUACCUGGGCUUGAAGUGUAUUUGAUCGUUAUAGAGAUAUAAUUUUCUGAGCAAUCAGACAGAUAUAGAGGUGCUGCAUGGCUGUCGUCAGCUCGUGUCGUGAGAUGUUGGGUUAAGUCCCGCAACGAGCGCAACCCUUAUCAUUAGUUACCAUCGAGUAAGGUCGGGGACUCUAAUGAGACUGCCUGGGUCGACCAGGAGGAAGGUGGGGAUGACGUCAAGUCCUCAUGGCCCUUAUGUCCAGGGCUACACACGUGCUACAAUGGGCGGUACAGAGCGACGCUACUUCGUGAGGAGAUGCUAAUCGCAAAAACCGUUCUUAGCUCGGAUUGGAGUCUGCAACUCGACUCCAUGAAGUCGGAAUCGCUAGUAAUCGUGGAUCAGCAUGCCACGGUGAAUACGUUCCCGGGCCU
rnacentral:rRNA from 1 species